AAUACAGACAUAAGUAUGUCCCCAGGUGAGUUUCUGUAUACAGAAAUGUACCCUGAACAAAGUCAAAAGACAGAAUUGUACCCGGUACCCCAAAC